GUGCUAUACGAAAGGAAAGGUGAGCACUGCCCUUGAUAAAGACAGAAGAGGCUCUAGAGCCUGACCACGUGCAUAUGGUUAAGGCACUACCACCUACUUCACUGCAUCUAGCCAUCAUGUUUU
ensembl:snRNA